GACGAACGCUGGCGGCGUGCCUCAUACAUGCAAGUCAAGCGAAGCGGCGGAUGGGUGAGUAAAGCGUGGGUAACCUGCCCUUAAGUCUGGGAUACCAUUUGGAAGAAGAUGCUAAUACCGGAUACUAAAGGAUGGACCUGCGAUGCAUUAGCUGGUGGGUAGGGUAACGGCUUAACAAGGCGAUGAUGCAUAGCCGAGUUGAGAGACGGAUCGGCAGCAUUGGGCAUGAGACACGGCCCAAACGCCUACGUGAGGCAGCAGUAGGUAAUCUUCCACAAUGGACGAAAGUCUGAUGGAGCAACGCCGCUGGAGUGAAGAAGGUUUUCGGAUCGUAAAGCUCUGUUGUUGGUGAAGCGGUAAUCAACCAGAAAGUCACGGCUAACUACGGGCCAGCAGCCGCGGUAAUUC
rnacentral:rRNA from 1 species